rnacentral:rRNA from 1 species
UACGAAGGGUGCAAGCGUUAAUCGGAAUUACUGGGCGUAAAGCGUGCGUAGGCGGUUAUUUAAGUCUGUUGUGAAAUCCCCGGGCUCAACCUGGGAAUGGCAAUGGAUACUGGAUAGCUAGAGUGUGAUAGAGGAUGGUGGAAUUCCCGGUGUAGCGGUGAAAUGCGUAGAGAUCGGGAGGAACAUCAGUGGCGAAGGCGGCCAUCUGGAUCAACACUGACGCUGAGGAGCGAAAGCGUGGGGAGCGAACAGG